AAAAGAUUGCAGAAAAAUCAGGUUAAACAGGUUAUUGAGGUAGAUCGUAGCAGACAAGACACUGCCCAGAAACGGAAACAUAAAAAAUCUGUUUAAUGUAUUGCAAGAAUAAUCAUUUAUUUAUUUAACAUUUUGACUCGGCAAUUUUUCAUGUGACAUUUUUAAUCAACCCUUGCUUGUUAAGGGAGCAAUAUUGUAAAAACUAUAUUCGAUAUUGGCAUAGAUGUUUUUAUCAUAUUUAUCAUAAUGAAAUGUGAAAUUUUUACAGAGGAAUUAACCUUGAAUACCAGUCCCCUGUUGCACUGUACGAGUCAAGGAGAUAAUAUAUAAUUUAUAUUCUUAUAUGAAUGAAAUUAUUUUUACUGAAAAUAGAAUGAAAUAAUUUAUACUGAAAAUAGAAUGAAAUUAUUUUUACUGAAAAUAGAAUGAAAUAAUUUAUACUGAAAAUAGAAUGAAAUUGUUUAUAUUGAAAAUAGAAUGAAAUAAUUUAUACUGAAAAUAGAAUGAAAUAAUUUAUACUGAAAAUAGAAUGAAAUAAUUUAUACUGAAAAUAGAAUGAAAUUGUUUAUACUGAAAAUAGAAUGAAAUAAUUUAUACUGAAAAUAAAGAAAUACAUGUAUAUUUCAUAACAAUA